rnacentral:rRNA from 1 species
AUAACUACGAKUAAAAACUUAAAAUUUAAAAGACUUGACGGUACCUCACAACAGCUUAGAGGAGCCUGUCCAUAACCGAUACUCCACGAUUAACCCAACCCCCCCUAGCCCAACAKUCUAUAUACCGCCGUCGCCAGCCUACCUUAUGAAAGAAAAAAAGUAAACGAAAUAGUCACACACUAACACGACAGGUCGAGGUGUAACCAAUGGGGGGGCCAAGAUGGGCUACAUUUUCUACCACAGAAAAAACGAAUUAAACCAUGAAAAAGAAACUGAAGGAGGAUUUAAUAGUACACUAAGAACACACAUACCUAGUCGAAAUUAAUGCAAUGAGGUGCGUACACACCGCCCGUCAUCCCUGUUGACUUAAACCAAAUACUUCCAUAAUACAAAAACAACCAAAAGCAGGGCAAGUCGUAACA